CACACAGCACAGAUGUCCAAGGUGGCCGUGGGAGGAAGUGUAAACAUCCCCCAUGUUUGCUGAUCUGGGAAAACAUUUGACCUACAAUAGAGGUCUGUGAGACUAGGCCUGGCCCUGUGAGGAUUCAGGAGAACCACGUGGUAUUGGCAUAUGAAACAGUUUUGACCUACAGAAAUAGAAGAAACCAACAGACUCCAGGUGACACAUGGGAAGGGAAUGAAAAUGGAGGGGCCUCCCAGACCCUGAGGCCCAGGAGGAGCAGCUGGCUACAGACACCCUAGGUUCCCAGAGGAGCUGAGGAGGAACAGAGAGGAGGCUGGUGUUGGAAGCCC
rnacentral:lncRNA from 1 species